UGGAACCUGUGCGGAGGGGCGGCCGGUUCCUCUCUCUCUGAGCGCCUGCUGAGCGGCGGAGCUGGAGGAGGCAGCAGGAUGGAGAGUUUGAUGUGCGCCAAGAGGACGAGCUUCUCCAGCAGGAAGGCACAGACGAAGACAGACUCCGAGAGACACAAAAGACAACAAGAUUCUGACAGACGGAGAACCGACCUGAGGCCACCGGGUGGAGGUGGUUUCUGUGGAAGGAUCUGAACAUUCCGUAGGAGCAUCCAAACAUCACAGAGCCAUUGCGUUGAGGUUAAGGAACCCGAAAUGGGAAUGUGGAUCCUGUCCUGGAAACUUUGUUUACCCUACGAGGGAAACCUGGACUAGAGGUCAGAAGUGGUUUCCCCUGGAGCUGGUGAAGAGGCCAGACCCAGACCCAGAUGGAGAUCAUGUGACUCUCCAGGGAUGGAAGCCAUUAAAGCAGCAGUUAAUGAUGUUGUAGAAACAAAACCACCUUCACCUCAAACCUCGUGGGGAAGGUUUUGGAAUGUUUUUUAAUCACAUGACAUGGUUCUUAGUGAUUAUUUUUCUACACUCAGACCCCAAGUUUUAAACUUUUCUAAUUGUAAAAAACAGUGCAGAUUUAUAAAAUUAGA